rnacentral:rRNA from 1 species
GACAAACGCUGGCGGCGUACCUAAGACAUGCAAGUCGAACGGGCGUCUCACCUUCGGGUGAGGCAGCGAGUGGCGGAUGGGUGAGUAACGCGUAGGAACCUAUCGUUGAGUGGGGGAUACCGCUGGGAAACCGGCGCUAAUACCGCAUGUGGUCAGGAAUGAAGAAAGCACGCAAGUGCGCUCGACGAGGGGCCUGCGUCCGAUUAGCUGGUUGGUGGGGUAACGGCCUACCAAGGCUGCGAUCGGUAGCUGGUCUGAGAGGAUGGUCAGCCACACU